GCAUUAAUGGGGUAGUGGUAACCUGGGUCGUUGCCAUAGGGAUUGAGCACCCACUUGUCGACCCGCCGGGGGUUCAAUUCCCCCUUAAUGCA